UUCUCCAUGACGUCGAGUGCUUGUUCGGAACUGUUGGCGAUGCCGCCGUGAAGGGCUUCUCCAUCGUCGUCUGUUCUCGAUUUGUUGGUUCCCAUCUCUCUUUUCGAGUUCUCUCUCUAUUCGAGGCUCUGAGCUCUCUCUGUCUCUCUCUUUCUCACUACGACGUGUCUCUUUGCUCGGCUGUGGAGUAUUCACCGCGCCGUCACCUUCUUUCCUCCCUCGCUACCAGAGAAUGAGAAGGAGAACAUCACAAGCAAUUGUAUUCAACAAAUCUGAUAUUGUUAUUGUAGAACAUUAUAAUUUUUAUUGUUAAUUUUUUUUAUUCUAUUGAUAUUUUUUAUUUUUAUAAUUUUUAUGAAGAAAUUGAAAUAAUUGUUUGUGGUUGAACAUUAUUUCUUUGUCAUUUAAGUGCAUUUUGAUUUUUAUUAGUUAUAAAGAUUGAUGUUUAAAGUUA